rnacentral:rRNA from 1 species
CCUACGGGAGGCAGCAGUGGGGAAUUUUCCGCAAUGGGCGAAAGCCUGACGGAGCAACGCCGCGUGAGGGAUGAAGGCCUCUGGGCUGUAAACCUCUUUUAUCAAGGAAGAAGAUCUGACGGUACUUGAUGAAUAAGCCACGGCUAAUUCCGUGCCAGCAGCCGCGGUAAUACGGGAGUGGCAAGCGUUAUCCGGAAUUAUUGGGCGUAAAGCGUCCGCAGGCGGUCUUGUAAGUCUGUCGUUAAAGCGUGGAGCUUAACUCCAUUUCGGCGGUGGAAACUACAAGACUAGAGUGUGGUAGGGGCAGAGGGAAUUCCCGGUGUAGCGGUGAAAUGCGUAGAUAUCGGGAAGAACACCAGUGGCGAAGGCGCUCCGCUGGGCCAUAACUGACGCUCAUGGACGAAAGCUAGGGGAGCGAAAGGGAUUAGAUACCCCUGUAGUCCUAGCCGUAAACGAUGAACACUAGGUGUCGGGGGAAUCGACCCCCUCGGUGUCGUAGCUAACGCGUUAAGUGUUCCGCCUGGGGAGUACGCACGCAAGUGUGAAACUCAAAUAGAUAGACGCGNGAGACGUGCCGACGGACGACGACGAGGGAGUAGG